AGAGUUUGAUCCUGGCUCAGAUUGAACGCUGGCGGCAGGCCUAACACAUGCAAGUCGAGCGGUAGCACAGAGAGCUUGCUCUCAGGUGACGAGCGGCGGACGGGUGAGUAAUGUCUGGGAAACUGCCUGAUGGAGGGGGAUAACUACUGGAAACGGUAGCUAAUACCGCAUAACGUCGCAAGACCAAAGUGGGGGACCUUCGGGCCUCAUGCCAUCAGAUGUGCCCAGAUGGGAUUAGCUGGUAGGUGGGGUAACGGCUCACCUAGGCGACGAUCCCUAGCUGGUCUGAGAGGAUGACCAGCCACACUGGAACUGAGACACGGUCCAGACUCCUACGGGAGGCAGCAGUGGGGAAUAUUGCACAAUGGGCGCAAGCCUGAUGCAGCCAUGCCGCGUGUGUGUAGAAGGCCUUCGGGUUGUAAAGCACUUUCAGCGGGGAGGAAGGCGGUGAGGUUAAUAACCUCAUCGAUUGACGUUACCCGCAGAAGAAGCACCGGCUAACUCCGUGCCAGCAGCCGCGGUAAUACGGAGGGUGCAAGCGUUAAUCGGAAUUACUGGGCGUAAAGCGCACGCAGGCGGUCUGUCAAGUCGGAUGUGAAAUCCCCGGGCUCAACCUGGGAACUGCAUUCGAAACUGGCAGGCUAGAGUCUUGUAGAGGGGGGUAGAAUUCCAGGUGUAGCGGUGAAAUGCGUAGAGAUCUGGAGGAAUACCGGUGGCGAAGGCGGCCCCCUGGACAAAGACUGACGCUCAGGUGCGAAAGCGUGGGGAGCAAACAGGAUUAGAUACCCUGGUAGUCCACGCUGUAAACGAUGUCGAUUUGGAGGUUGUGCCCUUGAGGCGUGGCUUCCGGAGCUAACGCGUUAAAUCGACCGCCUGGGGAGUACGGCCGCAAGGUUAAAACUCAAAUGAAUUGACGGGGGCCCGCACAAGCGGUGGAGCAUGUGGUUUAAUUCGAUGCAACGCGAAGAACCUUACCUGGUCUUGACAUCCACAGAACUUUCCAGAGAUGGAUUGGUGCCUUCGGGAACUGUGAGACAGGUGCUGCAUGGCUGUCGUCAGCUCGUGUUGUGAAAUGUUGGGUUAAGUCCCGCAACGAGCGCAACCCUUAUCCUUUGUUGCCAGCGGUUAGGCCGGGAACUCAAAGGAGACUGCCAGUGAUAAACUGGAGGAAGGUGGGGAUGACGUCAAGUCAUCAUGGCCCUUACGACCAGGGCUACACACGUGCUACAAUGGCAUAUACAAAGAGAAGCGACCUCGCGAGAGCAAGCGGACCUCAUAAAGUAUGUCGUAGUCCGGAUUGGAGUCUGCAACUCGACUCCAUGAAGUCGGAAUCGCUAGUAAUCGUAGAUCAGAAUGCUACGGUGAAUACGUUCCACGGGCCUUGCACUCACCGCCCGUCA
rnacentral:rRNA from 1 species